rnacentral:rRNA from 1 species
GAUGAACGCUGGCGGCGUGCCUAAUACAUGCAAGUCGAGCGAACAGAUGAGGAGCUUGCUCCUCUGACGUUAGCGGCGGACGGGUGAGUAACACGUGGAUAACCUACCUAUAAGACUGGGAUAACUUCGGGAAACCGGAGCUAAUACCGGAUAAUAUAUUGAACCGCAUGGUUCAAUAGUGAAAGACGGUUUUGCUGUCUCUUAUAGAUGGAUCCGCGCCGCAUUAGCUAGUUGGUAAGGUAACGGCUUACCAAGGCAACGAUGCGUAGCCGACCUGAGAGGGUGAUCGGCCACACUGGAACUGAGACAUGGUCCAGACUCCUACGGGAGGCAGCAGUAGGGAAUCUUCCGCAAUGGGCGAAAGCCUGACGGAGCAACGCCGCGUGAGUGAUGAAGGUCUUCGGAUCGUAAAACUCUGUUAUUAGGGAAGAACAAAUGUGUAAGUAACUAUGCACGUCUUGACGGUACCUAAUCAGAAAGCCACGGCUAACUACGUG